rnacentral:rRNA from 1 species
GUCUUAGUUCGUGGAGUGAUCUGUCUGCUUAAUUGCGUUUCACUAAGGGCCCAUAAAUUCAAGGUAUGUUAGCUAUCGUUUCUCAAUUGACCCCUUGUCUUCGAUAAGCGCGUGUCUUUUAGAGUUUAAACAUUGCGCAUGCUGUUGGGUCCUGAAAGCAACGAACGUGACCGCAACGUCUUAUUGCCUUUAUCUUGCUAUAUUUUAAUUUAAUUAAAAAUAGCUAACAGAGGCUAAUUUAAAAUUAGACGGACCGCUGUACUUUUCUUAAACCAGAGGAAGGUUGCGGCAAUAACAGGUCUGUGAUGCCCUUAGAUGUUCCGGGCUGCACACGUGCUACAAUGAUCAGUACAGUGAGCAUCUCAAUAUUAUACACCGUAUUAAGCGCUUAGUUGCGAUUAUUGGCUCAUUAUUGGGUCUUUUAAUUGUAUUUCUAAUGCGCGCGGUAAAGCCUGCUUCGAGAGUAAGUGGGUAAUCCAUUGGAAGUAAUGAUUUCUCUUUUUAUAGCACACCUAUAUACGGCAUUCAUUCCCGGGACGACUAGUUUCGUCUUUUUUGUGCGAAUGUAAUGUAUUCUUUAUCCGUAUGUGCGAUUGUCAAUUCAUG